UGCCCUUUGCUUUCUCUAUAGGCAGACUCCAGUUGUCCACAAGAGGGCGCUGUAGAACCAGGGAAUCUCCGGAGGCUUCACUUCACUUCACCCGGAGGCAGGAUCGUUCCUAAAGGGUUUAAAUGGAAUGAAAGAGGGCCUGGAGGACGCACCCUGUUACAGACUCUCUGCUUCAGGCAGCACCUCCAGGCUCAGUCUCUGACCAUCUGUGGGUAUCUGUCCUUCUUCUCUGUAAGCUGUGAACUUCCCAGGGUCUGACCUGUGGUGCCGGAGACCUAGCACGCGUGAGGUGGACAGGCCUAAGCUGGCUGAGAGUGUCACUGGAGCACGGGAGUACUGAAACGUACGAGCUCUGGAAAGGAGUGCAGCACAUCAAGUUGUCAGCUGGGAUCUGGAGACCAGGAGUGCAAACACAGCGGGCGGAGUGACGCUGCCAGAGCCAUUCUGCUCUGAGAGACAGCAGGCAUUAGCAAAACCAACCGUUAGGUGCACAAGUGCCGUUUGUUAAUGCGCUGGGAGCCAGAGGACACUGAUGGGAGGAGAGGUCACACAAGCUUUACUGAGAAGUGUCACUAGCCUGGCAGACAAGACUGAAAAGGUGGGGGGCGGUGUUAGGGACAGCAGCAGAGAUUGUCCCUGUGCAAACACCUGGUCAGCAGUCGGGUCACUGGACUGACAUAGUUUCUGCUGUGCUGUGCUUGGAGAUGUGCCUCUCUGAGCCAUCACUUUACCAUCCACAGAGUGAACAAAUCGAUGUGUGUCGGGUGCAGACGUCGAAGCCCACGCCUGUAAUCCAGCACGUGUGGAUAUGAAGGCAGAAGAAUCAGAAAUGGAAGGCCAGUCUCAGCGCCGUGGUGGAGCCCUAACACUGGCUGCAUCUCAGCCCCGGGCGCUGCGUCGAGAGUGCAUCCUGGAUGGAUGAAUGGAAGACUGGGAGAGCACGUGAGGUUUUCCCUCCUUAUAUUUUCAUUUCAUACUUUAAACCUUACUUUAUCAUAAUUUUGAUGUAUAGGCUAUUGCUGCAUAUUAAGUUGUGAUUUUAAUCUCCUUGGGGACAGGAACAGGUUUCUCUUAAUGUACACACAAAUUCUUCACAGAGACUUCUGCAAUAUAAGCGCCAUAGGAAGGAGGCAUGGGAAGAGGGCAGAGCCGCUGUCCCUUUCCCCUCUUUUUUGGUGGCACUCUGGUGUUUUGUAAAUAGAUGAAUCUUUCUGCUGGAGUUCAACAGUGGACAGAAAAAUCAAGAACCCUGCUCUGGGGCUCCUCAUCUGUAAAAUAUCGGACAUCACAACUCAGGAAGGAAAUAAAUGAUAAAAGCAUCACACAAUGGCAUAGCAACACUUGGUAGGGAGUGUGUCUUAGCUGGGGUCUCUGCUGCAACGGCAAAACACCAAGAUCAAUGCAACCAGGGGAGAAAGUGUUUGUCACCCUACAGCUUGUAGUCCAUCCCAGGGAAGUCAGGGCAGGAACUCAAGGCAAGAACCUGGAGGCAGGAACUGAUAUAGAGGCCACAGAGGAGUGAUGCUUAGUGGCUUAUUCCUCAUGGCUGCUCAGCCUAUAUAUAUAUACACACACACAUACACACCUAGAACCAUUAGCCCAGAGGUGGCACCACCCACAAUGGCCUGGGCCCUCCCACAACAACUAUCAAUCAAAAAAUGCCCCACAGGCCAAUAUAAUGCAAGCAUUUUCUCAAUUUCUCAAUUGCCUCUUCUCAAAUGACUCUAGCUUGUGUCAAACUGACAUGAAACUUGUCAGCACAGGAUGAGUUCCAGUACACUCUGUUGUCUUCUUCAUCAUGAUUACCACCACCACCACCAUCGUCACCAUAAUCACCAUCUUCUUUAUUGCAUACUGUCUUCUUUAUUGUUCCAGAGCCUAUAGCGUUAGUAGACAAAAGCCAAGAGAUACAAAUACACAGUGCUGCUCCAGGAAGCCAAUGCUCUGACAAAAGAAAACAGAGGGAAACAUGAUCCCAGGAAGGCUGCAGGACCUGGAGUCAAACCCCAGAAUCUAUUUCCUUAGAGGGAGUGAAUGUGGCAAACUGGGAAAAUGCUGUGGGUGUGUAGGCUACGGUGGCACGUACCUAACAAUCAUUAGAACUUGGGAGCCAGGAUCAGGAGGAUUUUGAGUUUCAGGCCAGCCUGGGCUACAUAGCAACACUUUGCCUGAAAAAUCAAGGAAGGGUGGAGAAUAUUUGUAGUAGUUUACUUAUAUAUUAAUGUAUUUGUUUAUUUAUUUUGGUUUUUCUGAGAUAGGGGCUAGCCUGGUCUCAAACUCAAUAUGGAGUUGAGGAUGACCUGAAUGUCCUGACCCCCCUGUCUACCUCCUGACUACAGACAGGCUCCACUCUACCUGGUUUUAUGUGGUGCAUGGUAGACAGAACCAUGCUUCAGUGUUUUCCCUUGAUUGCUGGGUGGAUAAAGGUCUUAAUGUGGGAGUGAACACUUUGAGUGAGCAUGCCUGAGCCCUGUGUGCUCAGUAGCUGUCAAUCAUCCUUCCAGAUCCUGUCUGCUCUGAACUUGACUGAUAGGAACUCAGUGAAUGGUGUAUUCAGGAAUUUUCCCACUCCAGGGCUCUUCAGCUGGGAGAUCCAAAUGGAUCUCAAAGCUUGCGUGUUUCCUUCCUCAGACCCAUGGUGACCCAGCCACAUCUGGGGGCUCUCAUUAAUACCUCUGGCUCUGGGGAGACAGCAAAGGCAGCCUCCGUGGGUGUGGAGUAUACCAGGACCAGACAGUGAUCCCUGAUGUCUUUCCUAAUCCAGCUGUGUAAGGCAGAGCAGCAGGCAGCCCCUCCAGCCUGCAGCCUGCAUUGUGAAUUCCAGGGGCAAUACAUGCUCUUUUCUCUCCUGAUUGCUGUGGAAAUUUCCUGCCUGUUUAUCAAAUGUGAGCCUCACUUCUCAGCCUGUGCUCUUUGGGCUCUGCCCCUCUCCUCCUGAAGAGGAACACAGAGCAAUGAAUGCCUCAGGGGAAAUCUCAGCUCUAGGGUGUGGAGCAGGUUGUGACUCCAGGAGGAAGAUGCUACAGCGUCAGGGGCAGGAAACAGGCUUCUCACAGUCUCUGUCCUCUAGCCCAACUCUUCUCCCCUUCCUCCCACGAAUUCCUAUGACAUCAUCUGAAGCCCUCACGCUCUCCAUUAGAGAACCAUUCACGCAGCCGAGUGUUAGUCCAGACAAUGAGGACCACAGUAAAUCACAGCCUUAGGCCCAUGGCGAGAGAGGAUUGUAUAGGCUCCUGUGUCUAUCAGUAUCACAACACAACGCCAGCCCGUGACACUGAUGCCAGGACAGUGCCUCAUGCAAAGGGAGCCGUCAUCAAGGUCAAGAGCAGGGCAGGGCAGGGCAGGGCCAGCUGUCCCCUGAUUAUGUUCUUAGAGGAGUGGAUUGUCAUCAGCUUGGGAAUGGCAAGGGGCCUGAUGGGGCUCUAUGUAUGAGCAUAGGCUCUGGCAUGGGCAGAGUCCCAUAAGUCUGUAUGUGCAGGUUAGAGCUAUUUUGGGGGUGGCUAAGGCCAAGCCAAGAGACCCUAAGAGAAUAAAUGUAAGUGUGGUGGUAGGGCUUAAGGUCAAGCUGAGGUGUUCUGACUUUAACCCUAGUCUGUAAAAACCCACUGAAAGCUUUUAAAGCAAGGGCCGGUGCACUAAAAUUCCCUAGGGGUGGUUGUCGGGGAGAGGAGCCACAUCUGUAUUGAGGAUUCUACAAACCGACAGAUCGGCACUUCCUGAUUGUGGAGAGUUAGAAUGUUGCAGAUUGAGAGCCAAAAAUAUCUUCAGUCUCCAUAAAAGGCAUUCGCCUCUGACCUCUAUUUAUGACUAACAUCUUUGUGACCAUUGAAGACUUUUGAACUACAUUCACCAAGCAGACCACCACCUUCCACCAACCUAAAAACUAAGAAUGUCGCAACAUCGCAUCCAAAACCAAUGGCAGAUGUUUCUUUUCUUUGCUCUAACCCACCUAGGUGACGUCCCCAUCAGUUAGCAGGUAAAUGUUCUGACAUAUGAGUUUCUGUUGUGCUGUAACUAUAAAACCAUAUAAUCUUUCCACACUGGAGCAUGUUACCCUGGCAACCUGAAUAGUGCUCCCUGCCCAUGGUCACUCAUAUUUGGCUCAGAAUAGACUGUGUCUUAUUCCUUUGGGAGUAUGAGCUGGUCAUGUAUUGCUGAGGGUAUUUAUGUCACCAGCUGGGAUCCGGCUGGGACCUGGAUGGGUCUGGAUACUACUUGGCUUUGUGUAGUCUCCAGAAGGGAGAUGUGACAGGUAGGAACAUGCCCACUGCCAUGCCUUCAUUUGCUGGUGGUCGCUACCAAAUCUUUGUAAGAGGGGGUUAGUGUGGGAAGCCACAUGUACCGUUGCAGAGUGGCACUGACUACUGCUGGCCACCAUGCAUAAGUUUGGACAAACAACCAAUGUGUACAUAUGCAGUAAAGUUUUUUGCAAAGACACUGCCUGGCCCGGGCAUGAUAAUGAGGCUUUGGGAGAAAAACCAAUCAGAUGUGAGACAUGCAAAUGAGGUAUGAUAAUGAGGCUCUGUGAGGUACAGAGAGAGAGAGUAGCCAAUCAGAUGAGGAACAUGCAAAUGAGGCUUAGUGCAUAACCAAUCCGGGUGUGAGACACGCCUCUCCUAGGCCUAUAUGAGCAGCACCAGUUCUGGGCUCGGGGUCUCUUCGCCUCUGCAAUCAAGCUCUCCCAAUAAACGUGUGCAGAAGGAUCCUGUUGCAGUGUUGUUACUGCUGGCCAGUCCAGAGCACGCAAGAGGUUAGUUUUGGUUUCUCUUUGCUUUUGAGUGACAAGGUCUUGCCAUGCCACACAGGCCCCACAAACACUGUGAAGAACAAGAUUAUUUGUAAGCAACUGGACUCCCAAUUAAAUGUGGCCUAAGGAAUACAGACAAUUACUCCUUCUGCAAAGGACUGUUGAGUGGUGGCAACAUACCAGAGACUGUUCAAGAAGCUGUGAGGACUACAGAGAGGACUCCUAGAAAACAGGAAGGUGGCCUAGGCCAGGGGAAGCUUUGUCCUGUGUGCAAUGCCCCAGGAGGCUGCCUCUUGGUCAUAGGAUGGCUACAGACGCUGGAGCUCCUGGCCAAGACAGGAAGCUGCAAAAAGAGGUGGCAAAGCCUUAUGGUUCCUUCCUGUCCCCUUCAGAUCCCCCCAUGGCUUUUCGUCCCUGGGGAGAAUGGACCUUUGGCUGCACUAGAGUUUCCAUGAUUAGUUAAUUGGAAGCCCAUUUAUCACCUGGGGUCAACCAGACUCUAUCUGGGUUAGGUUUGCAGGGGAGAAAAAAGAUGGGCCCACGGUGGUUUGAAUGCUAGUGGUUUCCACAGGCUCAUAUGUUCGAAUGCGUGGUCCUCAGUUAGUAGAACUGUUUGAGAACAAUUAGGAGGUGUGGCCUGGUUGGAGAAGAUGUGUCACUGGGUGACACAAAAGCCCACACCAGGCCCAGUCUCUCUCUCUCUCUCUCUCUCUCUCUCUCUCUCUCUCUUUCUCUCUUUCUGCUUGCAACGAACGUAUAGGUGAGAUGUGAAAUCUCAGUUACUGCUCUGGUGCUAUGCUUGUCUGCCUGCUACCAUGUUCCUGGCUGUGAUGGUCAUGGACUAACCCUCUGAAGCUGUGUCCCUCAAUGAAAUGCUCCCUUUUAAAAGUUACCUUGGUCACGGUGUCUCCCCACAGCAAUCGAACAGGAACAAAGACAGAGCCCAAGCAGGUUGAGGGCGGCCUUCUGCUUCUGUUGUUAUGGGGUCAGCUAGACGCCAGCCAAAAACCCAUGGGUGAGUCCUAGUAGCAUCAUCCAAACAGUAACCCGUUUUCAAGAUGGCAGCAGAUGGAACUCAAGAUUAGGCAAAUCCACUAAGUCAGGGUUACUUGUUUACUGAGGUCUUCUCAAAGCGCUGGGCAGGUAGGACAUGUGAUGGCGAAGUAAUGGCCUGUCCUCUGGGGACUUUCAGGCUGGCCAAGGUUAACACACCCUGGAAACAACCUGUGUCCAUGGCAAAGGAUAAACAGGAACCAGACGGGAUGGUAUUGUAUACCCACAAUCCUAGCAUUCAGGGGGGCAAGUUGGGAGAACCCUUAAGUUCAAUCUGAGCUACAGAAUGAGUUCAAGACCAGCCUGAGAGACUAAGUGAGACCCCUUCUCCAAAUAAAAAGUGGAAAGGGGGCUGAGGAGACAGCUUGGGAGUAGAUCACUGACUUGGUGUGCACGGUGCCCUGGGGUCCAGUGCCAGUGUGGAAGAUGAGGAGAUCGGUGUGAGGCCAAAACAGAACCAAUACGACUUGCACGUCACUGAGAGGCCAAGGCAGGAAAGAUAGACCUUGCAGGUUAAGGGUUUUGAUUGCAGUUAAGACAGACCAUUACCGAAAGGAUGGACCAUCUAGUGACUGCCAUAUGCAGGGAUCCAUCCCAUAAUCAGCUUCCAAAUGCUGACACCAUUG
rnacentral:lncRNA from 1 species